AUUGAACGCUGGCGGCAUGCCUAACACAUGCAAGUCGAGCGGAGCGGCGGACGGGUGAGUAAUGCCUAGGGAUAUGCCUGGUAGUGGGGGAUAACGUCCGGAGACGGGCGCUGAUACCGCAUACUAUCAGAUGAGCCUAGGUGGGAUUAGCUAGUGGGUGGGGUAAAGGCCUACCAGGGCGACGAUCCGUAACUGGACGGAGAGGAGGAUCAGUCACACUGGAACUGAGAACCGGCCCAGACUCUAACGGGGGGCAGAAGUGGGGAAUAUUGGACAAGGGGCGAAAGCCUGAUCAAGCCAUGCGGCGUGGUUGAAGAAGGUCUUCGGAUUGUAAAGCACGUUAAGUUGGGAGGCGGUACCAAAAGAAUAAGCACCGGCUAACUUCGUGCCAGCAGCCGCGGUAAUAC
rnacentral:rRNA from 1 species